AGUUUUUGGAACCCUUUAGAAGUGGGUACGUGUCAGUGGUUUAUUGGAAGUAAAAUUUAGCAAAAGAGAAAGAAAAAAACUCACCCGCGUUAUCUCUCUCUUUUUCCCGAAACGACUCUCUCUAACUCUUCAUCGCCUUCGCCGAUUUCGAUCUCGCCGAUGUCAAUGCUGAGUUCACCUCUGUUUGAUUGAUAUGAGAAUCAGUUGAUUGAGAGGAGAAUCUACUGCCGGUUUCAUCAUCUCUACCGCCAGAUUGUUUAAACUCCACUGCCGAUUGAACCGUCUCCAUCGAGUCGGAGAUUUAGACUCGAAAUCAGAGAGAUUUCGUUGAAGGAUGCUCCAAUAUCCGUCUCAUGAUUGGUUCUACUACAAUUGGAGUAAAGACUAACGAAUGAGUUUGCUUGCUGUGAAGAAGCAUAUCACUUCACCGUUGCUGGGAUUAUCGACUGCUUCUGAUGAUCUCGUAUGGUGAGCCAUUAAUGCAGAGUCCACAACACAAGGGCUAUGUUUCAUAAUCGAGAUCUCUCAUCUCACAACUUUGUAUGUGUUAUUCACUUGAUUGUAUUACAAGUGUUGAAUUUACAAAAAUUUAAAUUUUUAGAACCAAAUGGUUCUACCAUUAGAGCAAAAAAAACUUUUAGAAUCUCAUGUAUCUAAACUUACUUUUUGCAUUAUUUUUAUUGUUUUUAACAAAAAAUUUAGAACCAUUUGGUUCUACGGCAGGUGAUGCUCUAGAUCUAAUGGAGACCCAUAUUAUUUA